rnacentral:rRNA from 1 species
UACGGGGGGGGCAAGCGUUGUUCGGAAUUACUGGGCGUAAAGGGCUCGUAGGCGGCGCGGUAAGUCGGGUGUGAAAUCUCGGAGCUUAACUCCGAAACUGCAUUCGAUACUGCCGUGCUUGAGGACUGGAGAGGAGACUGGAAUUUACGGUGUAGCGGUGAAAUGCGUAGAUAUCAGGAAGAACACCCGUGGCGAAGGCGGCUCUCUGGGACGGUACUGACGCUGAGACGCGAAAGCGUGGGGAGCGAACAGG